rnacentral:rRNA from 1 species
AGUGAACGCUGGCGGUAGGCCUAACACAUGCAAGUCGAACGGCAGCACAGGAGAGCUUGCUCUCUAGGUGGCGAGUGGCGGACGGGUGAGGAAUACAUCGGAAUCUGCCCAGUCGUGGGGGAUAACGUAGGGAAACUUACGCUAAUACCGCAUACGACCUUCGGGUGAAGGAGGGGGAUCGCAAGACCUCUCGCGAUUGGAUGAGCCGAUGUCGGAUUAGCUAGUUAGCGGGGUAAUGGCCCACCAAGGCGACGAUCCGUAGCUGGUCUGAGAGGAUGAUCAGCCACACUGGAACUGAGACACGGUCCAGACUCCUACGGGAGGCAGCAGUGGGGAAUAUUGGACAAUGGGCGCAAGCCUGAUCCAGCCAUACCGCGUGGGUGAAGAAGGCCUUCGGGUUGUAAAGCCCUUUUGUUGGGAAAGAAAUCUUUCAGGCUAAUACCCUGGGAGGAUGACGGUACCCAAAGAAUAAGCACCGGCUAACCUCGUG